UUGCCACGCACGCUGGAGACUCGAGCCUGCCUUGGCUCCCCUUGCUGCUGUGGUUGGUGGUGGCAAGGAAGACGACAGUGCAGCCAGGAUGGCUUUUCUGGCUUUGCCUGCCCAGUUGCUCCGCGCGAAGAGGAGGGACUACCUGCUGCUUGCUGGAGGCUAGAGCCUGCGACACUGUGGCUCGCCUCGCUGUGGUUGGUGGCAGCGAUGGGGACUGCAGAGUGCCAAAGCGGUAGGAGAGCAGUGAUGGAGACUGCAGAGCGACAGAGCGGUAGGAGGGUGGCUGGCUGCUGUCAGGGCACAGGUAGGGCUGCAGUGGUGGCCAGGUGUUAGGAGCCUCAUAGGAUGGGCUGGUGCAUUGAGGGUAACAUCAGUGGUGGUUGUAUUGGCAUCAGCGCUAGUGGUGGCAGCAGCAGCAAGUCUGGGGCCCAGGAAGGCAGGUGGGAGCACUGUGGGACUGGCUCGCCUGUCCCAGCCUGGCCUGGGGUGGGUAGGAAGCUGUGGGCCUCUGUGGCAGGAAUGGAGGCAUAGCCAGGGGAAGGAGGAGUCUUCCCCACUUCUGCAGAAUCUGGAGGGUGCUAUCCUCCUGCGGGUGCCUGAGCCAGGCGUGAGUGGCACCAUUGUGUCAUUAUUAACAAAGUUUGUGGAGGUGACUAUUUGUGUAUCUUUUUGCUUGAUUUUUGUUAGGGUAGUCUUGAACUUUUUAAAAUUUCAUGAAUCAGGAAGGGGACAAGAUGUGUAAUAGGCCUCCUGAUUCCUUUAUCUGUUCUUUU
rnacentral:lncRNA from 1 species